rnacentral:lncRNA from 1 species
UUGGCAACCCAUUUGAGGUUACAUCUAAGACUCUGCCCUGCCAGGAAUGAAAGUUUAAGGUUACUCUGAUCCUCAUCUAACUUUGAAGGUUUGUGUCUUUAGAGGCACAAGCCCAUUUUGGUCUUGCCAUCAAUAAAAAGUACUUAACAUUUUUAAUUGGCGUAAUCAACAUGGUUGUCAAUAACUAUCUUAUAUGGAUCAUCACACUCCUGUCUGUUAAGAUUUCUAAGUUAAAAGUAUCCACGAACAAGAUCCAGAUGGUCUUUGAUAAUUAAUUCACUCCAACCCAAGUUAACUGUGUAAGGUUUCUCUGUGUUCCCUAAUCUCUUGGACUGUUUGGCAAAGUGCUUGCUGACUGCUCCUAUCAUUAGCAGUGCAUAAGCUGGGCAUAAUAGGUGGUAACACCUACUAUCAGCACUCAGAAAAAUCUCUCUUUUGCACCAGUUCAGAUUUCUGAGUCAUGGGCUGGGAAUCAGAAAAGGGAAACUCUAGCCCCAGUGUCACUUCAGAGUUUCAUUUUCUCCCUUCUCCAUUUCCUGUUACUCAAUUCAGAAAGCCAGGAACAUCAGAAGUCCAAGAAUUAUUCUUGGCCAGCCUGGACUACACAAACCCUUUCUCAACAAAUAAAACAAACCAAGGCAUGGUGGCAUUUAACCUCCACAGGCAGGUGGAUUUCUGUGCAUUCUUGGCCAGCCUGGUCUGAGUUAUCAGACAGCCAGGACUACACAGAGAAACCCUGUAACAAAAACACAAAACAAACAAACAACAAAACCACCAACCCCAGGCUCCC